GCCUCUAUGGAUCAAUGCUAGAUCGCCUGCGUUGCGUAUUAAUUCCUGUUCCAAGUAUACUUCGGAGGAGAAGUAGGUUCGAGUCCUACUGGAGGCG